GUAAACGAUGGAUACUAGGUGUGGGGGGACUGACCCCCUCCGUGCCGGAGUUAACACAAUAAGUAUCCCACCUGGGGAGUACGAUCGCAAGGUUGAAACUCAAAGGAAUUGACGGGGGCCCGCACAAGCGGUGGAUUAUGUGGUUUAAUUCGAAGCAACGCGAAGAACCUUACCAGGGCUUGACAUCCUACUAACGAAGCAGAGAUGCAUUAGGUACCCUUCGGGGGAAGUAGAGACAGGUGGUGCAUGGUUGUCGUCAGCUCGUGUCGUGAGAUGUUGGGUUAAGUCCCGCAACGAGCGCAACCCCUAUUGUUAGUUGCUACGCAAGAGCACUCUAGCGAGACUGCCGUUGACAAAACGGAGGAAGGUGGGGACGACGUCAAAUCAUCAUGCCCCUUAUGUCCUGGGCUACACACGUAAUACAAUGGCGGCCAACAGAGGGAAGCGAACCCGCGAGGGGGAACAAAUCCCCAAAAGCCGUCUCAGUUCGGAU
rnacentral:rRNA from 1 species